GUAAACCAGCAUCUGCAGUUCCUUCCUACACAUUAAGAUCUAUUACUUUGGUUCUCGACUCAUGCUUUGUGUGAUUCACACAUAUGCGUACCUAAAUUCCCUUUCUCUUUACGUACUCCGUUUAAGAAAACAUUCUGGUGUUUCUUUGAUUCAAGAUCGUUGAGGUUUUGUUCUCACUUCUGUCGGUGGCCUCCUAAAACUUUUGUUAAUGUUACCUCCCCCUUUUGUACUUUCCUUCUUGGAGAAUUUACUUUCUGUUGCUAACUUUGAGUCCUCAAUUGAUCUGGAUUUGCAACUCUUCCUUCUAAACCAGUAGGAUGUGUUUAAAAAGAUGGUGAUAUCCCCAAUAGAUCCCUGUGGAGCACCACAUUGCUGCAUCCUAGUAAAUGACUGAACCCCUCAUUUAAGGUGGCACAGUGAUGGAGUUGCUGCCUAACAUUGCCAGAAACCCGGCUCAGAUCCUGUCUUUGUGGUUUGUACGUUCUCCC